GUAUUUAUUUUUGGUUAUUUCGCAAGAGAUAAUCAAGAGAUUUGGGAUGUCUCUCCGUCAGGAUGAGUAUCUUUAAUGUUAUAGCCUCUUUUGUGGUAAAACAACUCUGCAGAACAGUAUUUGAAUGGAACCUUGGUUUCUUUAAUGCCUAAUAUGCAGACUUACCUAUUGAAAAGGGGGUCCAUAAAACAAAGUGGGAUCUCUCGGGACCCACUUGAA
rnacentral:misc_RNA from 1 species